CACCGUGCCUGGCCAAUCCAUUCUUUUGAAGUUUUCUUUCCCUGGUCAAAAGAUUGUCUUCAUGCUUAGAAUGCUGAUUACAUUUUUAAAAUGAGAAUUUCAUGCUUCACGUUUCAAGUUAAUAAAUUCUCCCAUAGGAAUGGACCAGUUGGCCCCUCAAGGUUCCUUAUACCCAAAUGAACCCACGAAUGUCAUUGAAUAAUGAAGAGUUUAGUCUUAUGCAAAUAUGCAUGCAAAGAUUUACCAGACUUUCCAGUAGUUGCUUUGUUGCUCAUGUCUCUAGUGAAUCUACAAGAAGAUCUAUUGUUCUCUUAAAACAAUACUCUGCCGCCCAAUCUCCCCUGCACAGCUGAAAUUUUCAGAAAUGAAACACCAGGAGGAAUCAGGUUAUCAUCAUCCACACCAGUUACUGUCAUUGGGCCUUCAAAGUUCAGCCUCCCUGGAACUCCAGCGUGCCCCACUCUAGAAGUUGAAUGGCUAAUUGGUUCCUAGUACAUAAGGAAACACUGGCAAAAUAGCAGUACAUACGAAAUAUUUCUCUUUAUGAUUGAAAAAGCAGUCAAACAUAGAUGUACUUCUAAAGCAACAGGGAAAAAGCAUGCAUUAACACAUUG